rnacentral:lncRNA from 1 species
UGGCGUGAUCUCGGCUCACUGCAACCUCUGCCUCCCAGGUUCAAGAGAUUCUUCUGCCUCAGCCUCCCAAGUAGCUGGCACUGCAGACACGCACCACCACACCCAGGAUGGUGCUAGCAUAUAUAAGACUGAAACACCAAAGUCCUCCGUGGAAGUUAAUGAAUUUCUGGUUAUGAGUUGGAUUCUUCAGCGGAGUAUUUGAGCCAUGCCUUGAGGCACAUACUUCAAGUUGCUGCAUCCAGUUUUAAACUCCAGAUUGAGCUUUACAUAUUAAAUGUGCACAUUUGUUUUCACAUUUUUGAGCUUUGCCAGUGGCACCCUCUCUAAUUAAUCAUCCCGCGGGCUUAGAAAACUUCUGCCCAAUCCUUUCUGAUUUGUUAAAAGAAAGAGAGAAGGUUUUAGUCUGAAAAAGGCCUUAUCUGAUAAACAUCACAUUAUAUGGAUUUUUACAUUUAAGUACAUUUUCUUUUUAAAUCCGGUGGCUUUCCCAAACUAGAAAGAUGGAGUGUUUGCAUACAUCCACCAACCACCAACAUCAGCAGAAAGAAAGCUUGAUACAGUAAAGGAAAGAAAUGGCAAUUUAACAGUUCUUUUAUUUUCCAUUCAGAUCACAUACACAUUAACCAAAUGAGGCCUCACAGCGUGGAAUCUGAUAUCAUAGCAAUGUUUUCAGGAAGCAAUAAUUGAAUACUCCUCAUUAAAAAGGUUCAUAAAAGAAUCCUAUUAAAACCAAUACGAAUAAUAAA